rnacentral:pre_miRNA from 1 species
AGUGGGGGUGAGAAACUGGCUUGGCUGUGUACACAGAUAGUCAGUCUUUUUCUCUCUCCUAUC